UUCGGUGGCCAUAGCGAAGGGGGUACACCCGAUCCCAUCCCGAACUCGGUCGUUAAGCCCUUCAGCGCCGAUGAUACUGCCAUUGACUUGGUGGGAAAGUAGGACGCCGCCGAGC
rnacentral:rRNA from 1 species